AUUUAUGGUGUCUGUGAGUAUCAUGAGAGCAGGCUUUACCUGCCUUGAACCUAGUUCAAAAUGAGUACAUUUAAACCUAUGUAAGUCUUAGAUGAAGAGUCUUAGAUGAAGACUUACAUAGGUUUAAAACUGAAAAUGCUUUUUCAACUCAGCAUUUCAUAUCCCUUCCGUGACAAGUAUUCAGGGGGGAGCCCAACAAGAUUACCUUACCCCCAUUUAUCUUUUAUAAUCUCAGUGUAUUCUUACGAACUUUCAUCAUUUUAGGAUACAUAGGACUUGUCCAUGAACACUGAAAGGUUUCCACAUGGAUCUUCUGUUUUAUUAUAUAUUUUGGCAUUCAGAUUUCAGCAUUAAUAGAUCAGGUCAGGUGAAUAUCAAUAGUAUAUAAAUUUUACUUGUCAACCAGAGGAGAUGUGGAUUUUUUUUUUAAAGCAAGACACUUUGUAAGACGAGGAGAGUGGGUUUAAGAGAUAGAGGGUUGCUGCAAUUCCUUAUUGAGAGGACAGAGCUGGAAGGAAUUAUUGAUCAGAGGUUUUACUUAAAGCCCACGAUGACUCCACAGAUUCUG
rnacentral:lncRNA from 1 species